CGUGGACGCUAUCAUCAUGACAAAAGACGGGCAAAAUGAUGUUGCUGUUUAUCUUCACGGACACACCCCAAAACAAACGCUAUCCGUCCGCCGGAUAAUUAUCUCAGAACUUACAGAGCUACAAAACAACACUGGACUUCAAUGACGAUGAAAGAGACGGACUGCAAAGUGAAAGUGUGAGUGACUCAGGGUGGAGGGUUGGCGUUCCACAUCAGCCUGAUAUGUAGAGUGGCAUUCUACAUCAACGUGACCAGUUAUCUGUUAUGGUCAAGUUGCAGAAACGAGUCUGCUGUGUCUGGCUGGCCAUUAACAGCGAAUGGUUUUUAAUGCCAUCUGGAGGGAAAAAGGAGAAUGAGAAGUAACAGCUGACAUACACUAGGCUGGGGAAGUUUGUGUGAAUGCAGUCUGAUUCCGGACAAAGUGGAGCGCGUCACUAGUCAUAACGAAAUGGGAGCAGAACUG